rnacentral:rRNA from 1 species
UACGUAGGCAGCGAGCGUUGUUCGGAGUUACUGGGCGUAAAGGGUGUGUAGGCGGUUGUUUUAAGUUUGGUGUGAAAUCUCCCGGCUCAACUGGGAGGGUGCGCCGAAUACUGAAUAACUAGAGUGCGGGAGAGGAAAGUGGAAUUCCUGGUGUAGCGGUGAAAUGCGUAGAUAUCAGGAGGAACACCUGUGGCGAAAAGCGGCGCACUGGACCACAACUGACGCUGAGGCGCGAAAGCUAGGGGGAGCAAACGGG